rnacentral:rRNA from 1 species
CCAGACUCCUACGGGAGGCAGCAGUGGGGGAUAUUGCACAAUGGGGGAAACCCUGAUGCAGCGACGCCGCGUGGACGAAGAAGUAUUUCGGUAUGUAAAGUCCUAUCAGCAGGGAAGAAGAAAUGACGGUACCUGACUAAGAAGCCCCGGCUAACUACGUGCCAGCAGCCGCGGUAAUACGUAGGGGGCAAGCGUUAUCCGGAUUUACUGGGUGUAAAGGGAGCGCAGGCGGCAGCGCAAGUCUGAUGUGAAAGCCCGGGGCCCAACCGCGGGACUGCAUUGGAAACUGCGCAGCUGGAGUGCCGGAGGGGUAAGCGGAAUUCCUAGUGUAGCGGUGAAAUGCGUAGAUAUUAGGAGGAACACCAGUGGCGAAGGCGGCUUACUGGGCGGCAACUGACGCUGAGGCUCGAAAGCGUGGGGAGCAAACAGGAUUAGAUACCCGGGUA